UGGUGGAGUGAUUUGUCUGGUUAAUUCCGUUAACGAACGAGACCUCAGCCUGCUAAUUAGUUGUAUCGAAUCCUUGCGAUUUGGUAGGCUUCUUAGAGGGACUAUCGGAUACUCAACCGAUGGAAGUUAGAGGCAAUAGCA
rnacentral:rRNA from 1 species